rnacentral:rRNA from 1 species
GACGAAGGGCGUAGCGUUGUUCGGAAUUACUGGGCGUAAGACGCGUGUAGGCGGUUAUCCAAGUUGGGUGUGAAAGCCUUGAGCUCAGCUCAAGAAAUGCACUCAGUACUGGGUGACUAGAGGACCGGAGAGGAUAGUGGAAUUCCCAGUGUAGUGGUGAAAUACGUAGAGAUUGGGAAGAACACCAGUGGCGAAGGCGGCUAUCUGGACGGUUUCUGACGCUAAGACGCGAAAG